rnacentral:rRNA from 1 species
AUUGAACGCUGGCGGCAUGCCUUACACAUGCAAGUCGAACGGCAGCACGGGUGCUUGCACCUGGUGGCGAGUGGCGAACGGGUGAGUAAUACAUCGGAACGUACCUUAUCGUGGGGGAUAACGCAGCGAAAGCUGUGCUAAUACCGCAUACGUCCUGAGGGGGAAAGCGGGGGAUCGCAAGACCUCGCGCGAUUAGAGCGGCCGAUGCCUGAUUAGCUUGUUGGUGGGGUAAAAGCCCACCAAGGCGACGAUCAGUAGCUGGUCUGAGAGGACGAUCAGCCACACUGGGACUGAGACACGGCCCAGACUCCUACGGGAGGCAGCAGUGGGGAAUUUUGGACAAUGGGGGCAACCCUGAUCCAGCAAUGCCGCGUGAGUGAAGAAGGCCUUCGGGUUGUAAAGCUCUUCUGUCAGGGAAGAAACACCGGCUCUAACACAGUCCGGGAAUGACGGUACCUGAAGAAUAAGCACCGGCUAACUACGUGCCAGCAGCCGCGGUAA